rnacentral:rRNA from 1 species
AUACGGAGAGUGCAAGCGUUAAUCGGGAUUACUGGGCGUAAAGCGUACGUAGGCGGUUAUUUAAGUCAGAUGUGAAAGCCCCGGGCUUAACUUGGGAACUGCAUUUGAAACUGGGUAACUAGAGUUUAGUAGAGGGGAGUGGAAUUUCAGGUGUAGCGGUGAAAUGCGUAGAGAUCUGAAGGAACACCAGUGGCGAAGGCGACUCCCUGGACUAAAACUGACGCUGAGGUACGAAAGCGUGGGUAGCAAACAGGAUUAGAAACCCCUGUAGUCC